rnacentral:rRNA from 1 species
UACGUAGGGUGCGAGCGUUAAUCGGAAUUACUGGGCGUAAAGCGUGCGCAGGCGGUUCGUUGUGUCCGUCGUGAAAGCCCCGGGCUUAACCUAGGAACUGCGAUGGAAACUAGCGAGCUGGAGUGUGGCAGAGGGGGGUGGAAUUCCGCGUGUAGCAGUGAAAUGCGUAGAGAUGCGGAGGAACACCGAUGGCGAAGGCAGCCCCCUGGGCUAACACUGACGCUCAGGCACGAAAGCGUGGGGAGCAAACAGG